UCGAUCGAGCGGUCGGAUAGCGUGAUGCCUCCUCGGCUAAACCGUAGUAAUCGCUUCUCGGCGAACGCGUCGCGCUCGCGCCGCCAUUCAUCAUCAUUCGUGUCAUUAUUCGUCAGCACCGCUGUCAUUAUCGUGGCUGUUUGCCCGUCAUUCUCAUAGUCUCGUUGCCGCCGCCGUAGCUCGAGUCGGCGCGGGUUAGCUGUUAACGUGCGGAUGCGCCAAACCAAAAUCGCCAAUGCUAUCAUGCACAAAGUGCCGAAAAUCGCCACAACCGCGAUCGUCACGGCCAUGCGUCGCAAUUUUCCGUCGUGCGUGCCGGAUGCAGGCAUUCGAGCUCGUUUGACCCCCAAGUAACUGCUAUUGUUACAGCAGAUAGGCUAUCCACCGAUGAAAGAAGCGAAGAAGCCGGGCGGGGGAGGGACGUUUCGCCCGGCGAUGCAUGAUUCUUCCGGCAACCGUACUCUCAUUUACGAGCGUAUAACCAGGCCGCGCCGCCGUGGACGCCCCGCCACCGCUGCCGCCGCCGCGGCCGCCGCCGCGGCCACCGCCUACGCCCCGUUACCAUCGACGUCCCAGCGCCGCCGCCGCCGCGGACGCCCCUCCGUCGCGGACGCCGCCGCUGCCGCUGCUGCUACUGAUGCUGCUACUCAUGCUGCUACUGACGCUGCUGCUCUUGUUGCUACUAAUACUGCUGCUCUUUCAUGCAAGUUCUGCUAGUGAAUAAAAAAAAGAAAUAUAUCUCUGGUUAUAUAACAUGCUCAGCAAACACGGAUAUAUAACUGUAAUAUUAUCUUAAUAAAAUGAAAUGUA
rnacentral:misc_RNA from 1 species